CCUACGGGAGGCAGCAGUGAGGAAUAUUGGUCAAUGGACGAGAGUCUGAACCAGCCAAGUAGCGUGAAGGAUGACUGCCCUAUGGGUUGUAAACUUCUUUUAUAUGGGAAUAAAACGUUCCACGUGUGGGAUUUUGUAUGUACCAUAUGAAUAAGGAUCGGCUAACUCCGUGCCAGCAGCCGCGGUAAUACGGAGGAUCCGAGCGUUAUCCGGAUUUAUUGGGUUUAAAGGGAGCGUAGGUGGAUUGUUAAGUCAGUUGUGAAAGUUUGCGGCUCAACCGUAAAAUUGCAGUUGAAACUGGCAGUCUUGAGUACAGUAGAGGUGGGCGGAAUUCGUGGUGUAGCGGUGAAAUGCUUAGAUAACACGAAGAACUCCGAUUGCGAAGGCAGUUCACUGGACUGCAACUGACACUGAGGCUCGAAAGUGUGGGUAUCAAACAGGAUUAGAUACCCUUGUAGUC
rnacentral:rRNA from 1 species